UCUGUCACAUUCUCGGCUGAGUGCCCGGACAUCAUGAGUUCAUUCUACACACACAGAACAGUUAGAACGGGCCUAUAUCAACGCACCUUUCUAUGUUAUAUGAGUUACUUUUGAACAAUCUCAAGCCCAAUGUCUAGGCUUGAAGGAUAUCUUAGUACACAAGCAUUAUUAAAGUUUAACAGACAUUUCCCUCAGUGUCAAUAAACUAUAUCUUUGUUGUAAGUUACAGAAGUCAUUUGCCCUUUUCCCUGGGGCAAAGCAACUUUCCUGAAUUGACCUCGAAAAGGGCAGUGUGUAUUUUGGCAGGUGGUGUGGGAUGAAAAGUCAGUGUUUCUGUGUUGAGAAAACACUUCUCCACGUUGUCACAAAACACAGACAGCAAACAGCGCAACAAGUCAUACACUGUGUGAGAGGAACCAGCGAGGUAUAGUAGCUAGCAUCUGUGAACCUAACUAUGUCUGAGCUUGAUGUCUCCCUUGGUUACUUUCUUGCUGUUGUGGCGUUUGGUGCAGCCUUUAGAGUCCUUUUCAGAAAAUGGCCUUGUUUGAGCUUUGCAGCAGAGUUCACAACCUCAUUUGUGCUGGUGGCAUGCUGGCUGGAGGUGCAGACCAUUAUAGAGAUUGGCGAGUGGGCAGGGGUACUGGAAUCAGACGUUACUCUAACCAUACGGUUUGUGGUGCUGCUGACCCAUGGUGUGAUAUGUGCUGGAGCCACUGGAAACCCCUCCCUGACUCUGAUGAAUUUCCUGAUGCUGGAGACCCCUACACUGCACACUCUGCUGGCUUUCGCUGCUCAGUUCCUGGGGGCACACCUGGCCCUGAUUGUAGCUGGCUACUACUGGGCAAUGGAGCUCAAUGACAUGCACAUAAUUAAGAACCUGAUAUUUAGGGAGUGCAGCACAGCCCUGCGUGUCUCCCUGGUGCAGGGGGUCUAUUCUGAGUGUGUGUGUGCAUUCAUCUUCUAUCUGAUAUACCUCAGCCUGAGAUGUCGCUCUGCGUUGAUUCGGGUGCCUUUCUUUGCAGCUGUGCUCACCCUUCUCUCCCAUGCAGCCAGUGGUUAUACCUCAGCUUUCCUGAACCCCUCCCUGGCCUAUGGCCUUACCUUCUACUGUCCUGGGUUUUCCUUUACGGAGUACUCAGUGGUCUACUGCCUUGGGCCCAUUAUUGGAAUGACCCUGGCCCUUCUCCUGUACAUGGGUCACAUUCCCAGGAUUUUUGCAAAGAAUCUGCUGUAUUCCCAGAAGACCCACGUACAGGUGCCAAAGGGGGACGGAGAUAAAAAGAAAAAGUGAAAGAAAGACAUCAUCCACCUCAGCUGAGGCAAUAUAGGACAUAUGAGUGUAUUAGGAACACACUACUCAAUUUUGUUCCUAUUGGGAGAAGAUAUUUCAUUAUGCACUGAGCAUUAUAUUCAACAGCCAAUUCUCUCCUUAAGU